AGCAGCCGCGGUAAUUCCAGCUCCAGUAGCGUAUAUUAAAGUUGUUGCAGUUAAAAAGCUCGUAGUUGAAUUUCGAGAUCAGUACGCUGGUCGUGCCUUCGGUAUGCACUGGUGUCACUGGUUUCUCCCUUCUGAAGAACCGUCAUGCCAUUCAGUUGGUGUGGCGGGGAAUCAGGACUGUUACUUUGAAAAAUUAGAGUGUUUAAAGCAGGCUCGCGCUUGAAUACAUUAGCAUGGAAUAAUGAAAUAGGACGUUUGACCCUAUUUUGUUGGUUUCUAGGAUCGACGUAAUGAUUAAUAGGGAUAGUUGGGGGCAUUAGUAUUCAAUUGUCAGAGGUGAAAUUCUUGGAUUUAUUGAAGACUAACUACUGCGAAAGCAUUUGCCAAGGAUGUUUUCAUUAAUCAAGAACGAAAGUUAGGGGAUCGAAGACGAUCAGAUACCGUCGUAGUCUUAACCAUAAACUAUGCCGACUAGGGAUCGGAUG
rnacentral:rRNA from 1 species